UACAGAGGGUGCUAGCGUUGUUCGGAAUUACUGGGCGUAAAGGGUUCGUAGGUGGCCAACUAAGUCAGUCGUGAAAUCCCUCAGCUCAACUGGGGAACUGCGUCUGAUACUGGUCGGCUUGAGUUCGGGAGAGGGAUGCGGAAUUCCAGGUGUAGCGGUGAAAUGCGUAGAUAUCUGGAGGAACACCGGUGGCGAAGGCGGCAUCCUGGACCGACACUGACGCUGAGGAGCGAAAGCCAGGGGAGCAAACGGG
rnacentral:rRNA from 1 species